rnacentral:antisense_RNA from 1 species
UGAUGGCGCGAACGCUGACGGUCGACUCCUGUUCGUCCAGCAGAUCUGCCUCGCCGAAGUACUCGCCGUCGCCCAAGAGCGCAAUCCGCAACUCCUCGCCGUGAGGACCCUUGCUGAUAACCUCAGCCUGACCGCUGGCCACGAUGAAGAAGCGCUGCUUGUCCUUGCCUUCCUCCACGAACAGUUUGUCGACAUCCACCUCCUUCGUCUCGAACGAGCUCACCAGACGGUUCAGAAUCUCGUCGUCGAACUCAGAAAACAGCGGGAUGGCCUUCAGGUUCUUUGCCGUAAACGAGGGCACGCCAUUCACAUACUGGAUGGGCAGACGGUCGUUCUUGCGGAGCUCCACCUUCGUACGGUUUACGCGGAACGUACCACCUGACACCUGCACCCAGGGCAGCAACUUCAGGAGUAAUCUCGGGGUGAUACUGCCCAUCUGCGGGGCGGUCUUCGUUGUCGUCGCCAGUCUUCUGGCGGUAGCAGUAGUCACACU